AAAAACAUCAAAUCUGAGAGAAAUCGUACCUCAAAGUAGCUGUCAGAGCUGUUCUUCGUGAAGAACAGUUCGUGAUGCCUACUUUGGACCUCUAUAACUUGACAAUCGUGCAACGUUUACGUGAUCUAUCAAUUCCAGUGUGUAGACAACAUGUAGGACUACAACUAUAACACUUAAAAUCAUCAUAACAACAAUAAAUCAA
rnacentral:lncRNA from 1 species